rnacentral:rRNA from 1 species
AUGGACUGGGAUAUUUUGCCUUGGUGUGCCGCAUGGUGGCCGAGAUGCGGUAGCUUCAUGCUCUGUUCCGAUGGGCCUCCUCUGCUCGAUGGUUGCCGCUGGUUGAGGUUCGUCCUUCUCUGGUUGGAUGUUCUUCGCCACUACUUUGGAUUCGUCCUGCUAAUUUCGCAUUUUGCCUUUGUUUCGUUCAUGCGCAGUUUGGUACGGUUUCCUGUUGUCGCUUGCGUCGAGCCCUAG